rnacentral:misc_RNA from 1 species
GUGAGUCAUCGAAUCUUUGAACGCACAUUGCGCCCCUUGGUAUUCCGAGGGGCAUGCCUGUUCGAGCGUCAUUAUAACCACUCACGCCUGGCGUGGUCUUGGGGUGCGCGUCCAGCGGCCCUUAAAACCAGUGGCGGUGUCCGUUGGGCCCUGAGCGUAGUAAUCUACCCUCGCUUCUGGGCUUUGCGGGCGCCUGCCAUAACCUAACUUUCUCAGGUUGACCUCGGAUCAGGUAGGGAUACCCGCUGAACUUAAGCAUAUCAAUAAGCGGAGGA